UUCCAGACUCCUACGGGAGGCAGCAGUGGGGAAUAUUGUACAAUGGGGGAAACCCUGAUGCAGCGACGCCGCGUGAGUGAAGAAGUAAUUCGUUAUGUAAAGCUCUCUCAGCAGGGAAGAAAAUGACGGUACCUGAGUAAGAAGCCCCGGCUAACUACGUGCCAGCAGCCGCGGUAAUACGUAGGGGGCAAGCGUUAUCCGGAUUUACUGGGUGUAAAGGGAGCGUAGACGGCAGUGCAAGUCUGGAGUGAAAGGCGGGGGCUCAACCCCCGGACUGCUCUGGAAACUGUACGGCUGGAGUGCAGGAGGGGCAGGCGGAAUUCCUGGUGUAGCGGUGAAAUGCGUAGAUAUCAGGAGGAACACCGGUGGCGAAGGCGGCCUGCUGGACUGCAACUGACGUUGAGGCCCGAAAGCGUGGGGAGCAAACAGGAUUAGAUACCCGAGUAA
rnacentral:rRNA from 1 species